UACGAGGGGAGCGAGCGUUGUUCGGAUUGACUGGGCGUAAAGGGUGCGUAGGCGGCUCUUUAAGUGAGAUGUGAAAGCCCUGGGCUUAACCCAGGAAGUGCAUUUCAUACUGAAGGGCUAGAGAUCAGAAGAGGAAACGGGAAUUCCUGGUGUAGAGGUGAAAUUCGUUGAUACCAGGAGGAACACCAAAGGCGAAGGCAAGUUUCUGGGAUGAAUCUGACGUUGAGGCACGAAAGCGUGGGGAGCAAACAGG
rnacentral:rRNA from 1 species